rnacentral:tRNA from 1 species
GCCUGGGUGGCCCAGUCAGUGGGGCGUCUGGCUUCGGCUCAGGUCAUGAUCCCACGGUUCGUGGGUUCGAGCCCCGCGUCGGGCU